rnacentral:lncRNA from 1 species
CAAGACUUAUUUGGACCAAAAUUUCUGUGCAUCCACCAUUAUCAUGUGGUAGAGUGAAGUUCAACCAAGCAGCAUACAAAGCCUCUAACUGCAAAGAGAAUAUUAAUUGUGACCAAGAAAAGAAAAAAUACAAAGAGGAUAUUAGACAAUGGAUAAAAUCUUUUCUCCAAGCAACUCUAUUUCUCCAUAUACCACAUUCCCCUCUUUUUAAGUCCCAACUCUUCC